CUAUAGUCACCCGUUGCGCUGCAGUUUCUGUGUGUGCUGUGAAACGGUUCAACCUUGUGCGCCACUUAUUAUCAGUUGAAUUCUGCGAUUCUGGUGCACUCGAUCUACGGUGGUCCUCCCGGCACGUGUAAGCAGGAAGAGAGAAAGCGCUCGCGUUACCGUGUGAAUCAUGAAACAGGAACAACACAUCGACGAUGCUCAACCGGCCUCGGUGGAGGAACACUUCAAAAUGAUCAUGGAGGAUAGAUCCACCAUCGAUCCGGAAUACGUCGAGGUCACGCCGAAGGAUCUACCGUUCUGGUUCGACGAGAAGCUGUUCAGGAAGGGUCAAGAGUUUUAUGUGAAGAAUUUACUGGCAUUCGGAGUCGCGAGCUUUACGGGCUUGAUUUCCAUUUUAUGCGUCCCCGAUAUAAUUGAGGUGCUUAAUUAUACGAAGAAAAGCGAAACUCACCUGUCCUCCUUUAAACGAUACUCGGCAACGUUGUUACUGAUGUAUGAACUUUACAGCUCGGACAUGCUGAAGCCAGAUUCGAAGUGGUUCAAGGCGGUGAACGCAGUUAGAUGGAGGCACGCAAUAGUGAGCAAGAGACGCGUCGAGCAGGGACUGAACUCGAUCUACCAAAAGGACAUGGCGAUCACGCAGUUCGGGUUCCUAGGGUUCUCGCUGAUAGCACCCCAUCGCGUAGGACUGGGGCACUGCACCCAUGAACAACAGGCGGGCUUCAAUCAUUUGUGGCGAGUGACGGGUCAUCUGUUGGAUAUCUCCGACCGGAUGAACAUCGCUCGGCGAAACGUUGCGGAGACCACGGAGCUGUGCAGGAGAAUCGCAGCCGACGUGCUCAACAAACGCAUACAGAACUCGUCGCCGGAUUUCGUGAAACUCGCUUCGAACGCGAUCAACGGUUUCUGGUACGUCGAUUUCAACUUGGACGCCGACGCCUUCUUCGAGUUGACGUACUCUCUGGCUAACGCGCAGAAUCCCAAGCCACUUGGAUGGUACUCGACUUAUAAUUACAAGCAACGCGAGUGGUCCUUGUAUUUAUGCAGUGCCCCCUACAUUGGCGUCGUGAUCAGGACAUGGUUUAAUUACUUUUUAAUGGCAGUUUACUGGAUGCUCCAGAACUAUCCGAUCCUAGCGUGGAUGAAGUUCGGCAAAAAGGAGUCACAAUUUUGUGUCUAUCCGAAAAUAAAGUAACUUCUGUGACUUAAACGCGAUGACAGGUUUACAGUGCUUAAAUAAAUAAUAAUUAUGAAAUUCUUCCGUGUGAAUUCAAAAUAAAGGAAUUGUCAGAGACUUA